rnacentral:rRNA from 1 species
GAUGAACGCUGGCGGCGUGCCUAAUACAUGCAAGUCGAGCGAACAGACGAGGAGCUUGCUCCUCUGACGUUAGCGGCGGACGGGUGAGUAACACGUGGAUAACCUACCUAUAAGACUGGUAUAACUUCGGGAAACCGGAGCUAAUACCGGAUAAUAUAUUGAACCGCAUGGUUCAAUAGUGAAAUACGGUUUUUCUGUCACUUAUAGAUGGAUCCGCGCCGCAUGAGCUAGUUGGUAAGGUAACGGCUUACCAAGGCAACCAUGCGUAGCCGACCUGAGAGAGGGAUAGGCCGCACUGGAACUGAAACACGGACAAGACUCCUACGAGACGCAGCAGUAGGGAACGUUCGGCAAUAGGCGAGAGCAUGACGGAGCAACGCCGCGUGAGAGAUGAAGGUCUUCGGAUCGUAAAACUCUGUUAUUAGGGGAGAACAAAUGUGUAAGUAGAUAUGCACGGAUUGACGGUAAUUAAUAAGAAAGCCACGGCUAACUACGUG